GACGGAGGGCGCAAGCGUUGUUCGGAAUUACUGGGCGUAAAGCGCGCGCAGGCGGGAAGGUAAGUCUGGAGUGAAAUUCCGGGGCUCAACUCCGGAGCUGCUUUGGAUACUGUCUUUCUAGGGACCGGUAGAGGCCGGUGGAAUUCCCGGUGUAGCGGUGGAAUGCGUAGAGAUCGGGAAGAACACCCGUGGCGAAGGCG
rnacentral:rRNA from 1 species